CUCAAACUCCUGGGCUCAACUGAUCUUCUUGCCUCAGCCUUCCAAGUAGCUAGGACCACAGAUUUUAAAAUGGAAAUUAUCAAGGAAACAAAGACAGUUUCACGCUCAAAUAGGAAAAUGUCCUUGCUCAAAAGAACUCUUGUAAGGAAGCCAUCAAUGAGACCCAGAAACUUGACAGAAGUCCUCUUAAAUACACAGCACUUGGAGUUCUUCAGGGAGUUCCUCAAGGAACGGAAGGCUAAAAUCCCAUUGCAAUUUCUCACAGCUGUACAGAAGAUCAGUAUAGAGACCAAUGAAAAGAUUUGCAAGUCUCUCAUAGAAAAUGUAAUCAAGACUUUCUUCCAAGGCCAACUCUCUCCUGAAGAAAUGCUGCAGUGUGAUGCCCCUAUUAUCAAAGAAAUCGCUUCCAUGCGUCAUGUCACCACAAGCACACUGUUAACGCUCCAGGGACAUGUUAUGAAAUCUAUAGAAGAAAAGUGAAGAAAGGCUGGAUGAGAAUGAUCAGCUUUAUCAGGAGUUUUUGCAAGUACCGCAGAUUUAUGUUGAAUCCUAGUAAGCGCCAGGAAUUUGAAGACUAUCUUCACCAGGAAAUGCAAAAUAGCAAGGAAA
rnacentral:lncRNA from 1 species